rnacentral:rRNA from 1 species
UACGAAGGGGGCUAGCGUUGCUCGGAAUCACUGGGCGUAAAGCGCACGUAGGCGGAUCUUUUAAGUCAGGGGUGAAAUCCCAAGGCUCAACCUUGGAACUGCCUUUGAUACUGGGGAUCUCGAGUCCGGAAGAGGUGAGUGGAACUGCGAGUGUAGAGGUGAAAUUCGUAGAUAUUCGCAAGAACACCAGUGGCGAAGGCGGCUCACUGGUCCGGUACUGACGCUGAGGUGCGAAAGCGUGGGGAGCAAACAGG